rnacentral:SRP_RNA from 1 species
CGGUAAUCCGUGAACCCCGCCAGGCCCGGAAGGGAGCAACGGUAAGCGGACUAUCCCGUGUGCCGCGAACCACCUGGCCCUC